GAUGAAGAACGUAGCGAAAUGCGAUAAGUAAUGUGAAUUGCAGAAUUCAGUGAAUCAUCGAAUCUUUGAACGCACAUUGCGCCCGCCAGUAUUCUGGCGGGCAUGCCUGUUCGAGCGUCAUUACAACCCUCAGGCCCCCGGGCCUGGCGUUGGGGAUCGGCAGAAGCCCCCUGUGGGCACACGCCGUCCCUCAAAUACAGUGGCGGUCCCGCCGCAGCUUCCAUUGCGUAGUAGCUAACACCUCGCAACUGGAGAGCGGCGCGGCCAUGCCGUAAAACACCCAACUUCUGAAUGUUGACCUCGAAUCAGGUAGGAAUACCCACUGAACUUAAGCAUAUCAAUAAGCGGAGGA
rnacentral:misc_RNA from 1 species